UAGGACAGCCAUAAUAUGCUGGAAACACCUGUUCCCAUUCCGAACACAGAAGUUAAGCAGCCUAUGUUGUUAGCCAAGUACUUUCGAAAGAAGGGAAACUAAUAAGCUGUCCUGC
rnacentral:rRNA from 1 species